rnacentral:rRNA from 1 species
UACCCUACGGGGGGCAGCAGUGGGGAAUAUUGCACAAUGGGGGAAACCCUGAUGCAGCGACGCCGCGUGGGUGACGAAGUAUUUCGGUAUGUAAAGCCCUAUCAGCAGGGAAGAAGAUGACAGUACCUGACUAAGAAGCCCCGGCUAACUACGUGCCAGCAGCCGCGGUAAUACGUAGGGGGCAAGCGUUAUCCGGAUUUACUGGGUGUAAAGGGAGCGUAGACGGCAUAGCAAGUCUGAAGUGAAUGCCCGUGGCUCAACCGCGGAACUGCUUUGGAAACUGUUAAGCUGGAGUACUGGAGAGG